GUCGUUUCCACGUUGAUUCAAUGUCAGUUUGCUGUCUGGGCCUGGACUAUGGAGUCCUCAACUAAAGUAUACUCGAAUAAUUUAAUACCACCUGUGCAAACCAGGAUUAGCUGGAUUGAGGUUGCCUGCUAUAAAACAUGGAAUGAACAAAGAAAAGGUUAAAAUUGUAUGCAACUGAGAAGCAAAUGGCAAUGGAAAUUGAAAAGAGAGAGCGAUCAAAGAACUUUUCUGAACAUGAGAAAAGUCUUUUAAAGAAAAUAGGAUCGAGACAUCCUGAUAUCGAGGAUAAACGGCAAACAUCAGCUGUUGAAUCAAAGAAAAGGAAUGCCUGGACAUCUAUUUAUAAUGAAUUUAAUGCAAAUUAACAUGCAUCUACAAGAACAAUACAGCAACUUCAGGUAAGAAUCAUUAGUUUUAUGGCUUUUUAAAAUCACCGUUGUAUUUAUAAUAGUUAUUUAAUACAAGUGUUAUAGAAAAAUAUUUUAAAAACAAACAAAAAAAACUAUUGCUGAAGUUCGAAGAGAGAGGUUUAAGACUGGCGAAGGACUUGCAAAUAAAGACUGAUGUGUUGGAUGAGUUACUGACAGGAAUACUGGAGAAUCAGCAACCUUUGGAAAACAUACCAGAUGAUGAGCAUCUGGACAGUUCAGAUGAUGGAUCACAUGCACCUAUAUUAAGUAUUUGAAUUUGAUUUUGGCUUUUGUUUCUCUCCUCUCAAACUUAUAUUUGCUUCUGUCAUAUGAUGUUAAACAUUUUUCCAUUUAAUCUGUUUUUAUUUGACCAUAUAUGAGCCGUUCAUGUUUCAAGGAGGUCAAAACAGAACUGAGGAAUUGGAAAGCAGCUUACCCUCCACAUCCACAGAAGUGAGGGUGGCAAUGUCUGUCAAUACUGGUAACCAGAAGAAAAGACUCGCUGUUCAUGAAAAGUUGGCUAAUGAUUUGCAAUUGAAUUGUCUUCAAAUUUAAGUAUCUUAAGAAGGAGCAUGAAAUGAAGAUGAAGAUACUACAAGUAGAACUGGAGAUAAAGAUGAAGGGGAGAGAGAGACACAGGCUGCGUCCGAAACCGCAUACUUCCCUACUAUAUAGUAUGGAAAAAGCAGUAGGCGAGCGAAUAAGUAUGUCCAAAUCCUUAGUAUCCAUAAAAGAGUAGGCGAGAAUUACCAGAGUGACGUACUAAUUAUCGCGAGAUUCGGGCAUACGUAUACUUAUAGUACGUCCAAAUAUUCCUACUUUCGUACUAUAUAGUAGGGGGAAACAGUAUUUGAAAGGAGUAGUAUGUCCGAAACCUCAGUACUCAUAAAAGAGUAGGCGAGAAGUUCCCGGAUGAUCUCCUGCUUUCGCCCCGAUUUUUGAGUGUUCAUCCGAUGGAUACUCUUCUAUCCCAGAAGGCCACGGGAGAGCAUACGUAAUUAUCAACAUCGGAGAUCAGCAGGGGUUUUCAAAUGUGAGUAAACACGGUUUCUUGUGUUUAAAUCGUAUGUGUUAAACUACUAUAGAGUAAACGUUUUAACUGUUGAAGGUCUAAAGGACUUAGACAGUAUAGUAUAGUUGUGAUUUUGCUGUAAACACAUGUUUUAUUAGUUAGUUAAACUGGGGAGCUCCAGUAAGUACGCUACACGGACAGAAGAACACGCGUGUGUUUAUCUGCUGGAGAGAGGCUCAUGAUGCUGAAUGCUGUCAUGAAAGGCUCUGAGUGAGUAUACUACAGAAAUGGAUAACAAAAUCUAUUCAAUCUUAAAUUCUUUUGUGGUGGAGCAAGACCUGCAAGGAAAGAUGAUGGCAGCAUUUGUUUUAGGGAUUUUACUCAAAUAUAAAGAUCUGAAAUGUCUGCAGACUGGUGUGAGCACUGAGGAUGAGGAGCCUAGAGCUGCAUCCUGGAAGUGGUGCCAUGGAUGAGUCCCUCCAUCUCUCCACCUGCCCUUACAAGACCCUCUAUCUCUCCACCUGCCCUUAUUGCCUCAGAUUGUGAAGCGCAGCGCAGCAACAAGCUCCGGGACGAAGGCACAGUCCCCUCUGGUGAAUUCAUCAGAAUAAAGCCGCAGAAUGGGAACCGCUGUGUUGAGACGGCAUUAGGAUGUGGUGUUCAGCCCUGUAAAUACAUGCUUGUAGUUUGAAUAAAGCUUUGUUUCAUGUGUUGUUGACUUGUA